rnacentral:rRNA from 1 species
UGAGGGAUAUUGGGGCAAUGGGGGAAACCCUGACCCAGCGACGCCGCGUGAGGGAAGACGGUCUUCGGAUUGUAAACCUCUGUCUUUGGGGACGAAAAAGGACGGUACCCAAGGAGGAAGCUCCGGCUAACUACGUGCCAGCAGCCGCGGUAAUACGUAGGGAGCGAGCGUUGUCCGGAAUUACUGGGUGUAAAGGGAGCGUAGGCGGGAAGGCAAGUUGGAUGUGAAAACUGUGGGCUCAACCGACAGACUGCAUUCAAAACUGUUUUUUCUUGAGUGAAGUAGAGGCAAGCGGAAUUCCUAGUGUAGCGGUGAAAUGCGUAGAUAUUAGGAGGAACACCAGUGGCGAAGGCGGCUUGCUGGGCUUUUACUGACGCUGAGGCUCGAAAGUGUGGGGAGCAAACAGGAUUAGAUACC